AGCUUUGCAAAGUGGCAGUAUUGUAGCCAAUGAGGUUUACCCAAGGUGCAAUUAUUUCUAGUUAAAAACUGUUCCUAAUACCCCUGCCAUGACGACUUGAAAUAUAGUCAGCAUUGGCAAUUUUUGACAGUCUUAUGGAGA
rnacentral:snRNA from 1 species